GCGCGUGUAGCUCAGCUGGUAGAGCAAUCGACUGAUACUCGGUAGGUCCCAGGUUCGACCCCUGGCACGCGCA
rfam:Parcubacteria bacterium C7867-005 C7867_00016, whole genome shotgun sequence.